rnacentral:rRNA from 1 species
GAUGAACGCUGGCGGCGUGCCUAAUACAUGCAAGUCGAACGAAACUUCUUUAUCAUCGAGUGCUUGCCCUUACCGAUAGAGGGUUGAGUGGCGAACGGGUGAGUAACACGUGAGCAACGGACCCCAUAGAGGGGCAUAACACAUUGACACAUAUGCUAUUGCACCAUAAGCAUCAUUACUGCAUGACGACUUUGUUGAAAGUUACAGUACUACCCGCGCCGCAUUAGCUAGUUGGUAAGGUAAAGGCUUACCAAGGCAACGAUGCGUAGCCGAACUGAGAGGGUGAUCGGCCACACUGGAACUGAGACACGGUCCAGACUCCUACGGGAGGCAGCAGUAGGGAAUCUUCCGCAAUGGGCGAAAGCCUGACGGAGCAACGCCGCGUGAGUGAAGAAGGUCUUCGGAUCGUAAAACUCUGUUAUUAGAGAAGAACGAGUGUGAGAGUAACUGUGCACGUCUUGACGGUACCUAAUCAGAAAGCCACGGCUAACUACGUG